AACGUAGGUGGCGAGCGUUAUCCGGAUUUACUGGGCGUAAAGGGUGUGCAGGCGGGCUGUUAAGUGGUGUAUGAAAUAUCCCGGCUCAACCGGGAGAGGUUAUGCCAGACUGGCAGUCUAGAGAGCGAGAGAGGGACGUGGAAUUCCUGGUGUAGCGGUGAAAUGCGCAGAUAUCAGGAGGAACACCGGUGGCGAAGGCGGGUCUCUGGGCCGAUACUGACGCUGAGGAGCGAAAGCGUGGGGAGCAAACAGG
rnacentral:rRNA from 1 species